CUAGGGGCAGCGCCCACCCCCCAGCUGUUUUUACGGAUGUUGGGCGAGUUGCUCCCGCAGCUGGAGGAGGUGCUGACCCGAGGGCACCCUGGGGUGCUGGUGCAGCUGGCAGCUGGGUGUGCCCGGCACCAGGGGGGGCACAAGGAGCUACGGAGAGCCCUGUACCAGGCCCUCCACUGUGAUCGCCCGAAGG